AUGAUGAGAGAGGGGAGCUGGGGUUGCUCUCUGCUUUGCCUUGUCCUCACACAGCUGUGUGCCUCGGUGAUUAACCUGCAUUAUUCACACAAGACUAGACACACGGAGAAAGCUGGACGGUUGAUGGAGUACAUGCUUUUGUACAUAGUGAGUGAGGAGAAAAAUAAUAAUCAAACAGAGAGACAAAAUGCUCAAGGAAGUGUCUCAUUUGUGGAAUUCAAUGUUUCCCUUGACUCAGUGCUUUUGCAGACCUCAGGCGUCCAACGGACUGGGAGUCAUCUUCAAAAGUGGUGUUGUUACUUAGAAGCUUAA
rnacentral:lncRNA from 1 species